UACGGAGGGGGCUAGCGUUGUUCGGAAUUACUGGGCGUAAAGCGCACGUAGGCGGCUUUGCAAGUUAGAGGUGAAAGCCCGGGGCUCAACUCCGGAAUUGCCUUUAAAACUGCAUCGCUAGAAUUGUGGAGAGGUAAGUGGAAUUCCGAGUGUAGAGGUGAAAUUCGUAGAUAUUCGGAAGAACACCAGUGGCGAAGGCGGACUUACUGGACACAUAUUGACGCUGAG
rnacentral:rRNA from 1 species